rnacentral:rRNA from 1 species
UACAGGGGGGGCAAGCGUUGUUCGGAAUUACUGGGCGUAAAGGGCUCGUAGGUGGCCAACUAAGUCAGACGUGAAAUCCCUCAGCUUAACUGGGGAACUGCGUCUGAUACUGGAUGGCUCGAGUUUGGGAGAGGGAUGCGGAAUUCCAGGUGUAGCGGUGAAAUGCGUAGAUAUCGUAAGGAAGACCAGUGGCGAAGGCGGGUCUCUGGACAGUUCCUGACGCUGAGGCACGAAGGCCAGGGGAGCAAACGGG